rnacentral:rRNA from 1 species
UACCAGGUGUCGGGAGUCACAUCCCGGUGCCGAAGCCAACGCAUUAAGUAUCGCGCCUGAGUAGUACGUCCGCAAGGAUGAAACUCAAAGGAAUUGACGGGGGCCCGCACAAGCGGUGGAGCAUGUGGUUUAAUUCGAAGCAACGCGAAGAACCUUACCAGGCCUUGACAUCGAUCCGAUCGCGCGGAGACGCGCGAGACCUUGCCGAAAGGGAAGGAGGAGAAGACAGGUGGUGCAUGGCUGUCGUCAG